UUAUUUCCCUGAGACUGGACGGGGCCGCGAACGGCUGCUUUCAAAACGCGACCUUGGGAUUCUACGUCGAGUUCUCUGUUCGUUGUGUUUCAGGCGGCAGCGAGAGGUCUCCCGGUGAAGGUCAGCCCGAACCGAUGAGCCGUACAGUGCCUGUUACUUAAAACUUCAGGAGUGCGAUCUUGUUCUCAUCACGGAGACGCGGCGGGACAGCUUGCAUGACUGGAACGGUGUUGUGGAUGGCUGCGUUCCUUACAGGAGAAGCACACAGUUCCAGUCAGCAAACACGUGACCACGGAUGCCUGAAGUCUCCUCAGCACGUUUCAAGAUACACAAAUUACAGGAAACAUUUCGUUCAUUGCUGUUGUUAAAAUGGCGCCUUGUUGUCCAGGGCUUUUAGAUGCGCCUAUCUUUCCUCUUAAAAAUCCAACAGAAACUUCACGACAAAGGACGCGGAAGACAAUCAGAUGAAGGGAGCGCCGUGCAAAUCGAUAAACUUUUGCAGCUAAUUACAAGGCUCUCAACCGGGCAAACAAAAAUACAAGGCAAACAAAUGGAAGAGCUCCAGAUUCAAGUCACACUAGAAUCUUCCCUACAUUUCACAGCACAAUUUCUUCACUCCCCAGGUUUUACACAGCAUGUUUAAACUUAGACAUCACUAACUUCAAAAUGAUCCAUACGCUACAGGGGAUUUAACUGGCACGUACAAGGCGUCCUAGGGCAUUCUCUGCGGUAUUUCUCGUUUGCGUCUCCUGAAGCCCAGUUCUUCAAAUGGCUACAUCAAAAUCAUUACAUCCAACCGCUGGUGAAAUUUGCUCAUAUUUCCCUGUCCGUUUUAGAGCGUACUGUGAGAUAGCAGCAGAUUAUGUAAUGAGUAUUCCCAAAUACAAAAAAAAAAAAAAAAAAAAGGCUACUCAAAAAAGCCUCUCUACCUUCAUUGUUUCUGCUAGGGUGCCGAUCAUACAUCCAUCCCAUUUAAAACUAUGAAACAAUGAAAAUUAUUUAUUGGUUGUCUUUUUCUUUCUAGUAAAGCCGUCUACGGGAGGG
rnacentral:lncRNA from 7 species